UACGGAGGGUGCAAGCAUUGAUCGGAAUUACUGGGCGUAAAGGGCGCGUAGGCGGUCCUAAAAGUUAGAUGUGAAAUUCCGGGGCUCAACCCCGGAGCUGCAUUUAAAACUUUAGAACUAGAGUACAAUUAGGGAAAACAGAAUUCCACGUGUAGCGGUGAAAUGCGUAGAUAUGUGGAAGAAUACCGGUGGUGAAGACGGUUUUCUGGGUUGUUACUGACGCUGAGGCGCGAAAGCUAGGGGAGCAAACAGG
rnacentral:rRNA from 1 species